UGAAAAAUUGCACCAUUUCGCCAGUGCCCAGCUGUGUUUGGACCACACUAAGAUUCAAACUGUUACAUGAAUAUGGCUACACUGUACUGUUGGCAGAUAUUGUGGUCUAAAGUGGUGGUCUGUGUGUAAAACUAAAUGAGAAGAAAACCGUGGGAUCCAACUUAGGUUUCAGGCACAGCUGGCCACCGGAUGACUCUCGUGGGCUGGCAGGGCCCACUCAAAUGUUUUGUCUGUAUGUUUUCUUUGCUGGAAACCAUUAGAACCACACUUCAGAUGUGAAAAUAAGGUGGCGAAGAAGCCAAGAUGACAAAACUGGUCAGCAGGCUAUACAACCUUCUCAUAACUCUGCAUGAAGAUCCUACAAAUCCUGAAAUACAAAUAUUAUCUGCACUGUUAAAAAUUGCUGUUAAUUUACGGCAGAAUUUCAACAGUAUAAUCCUGUUAUGUUCAAAAGCAGUACAUUACUGUUUUUUUCGUUUGUGUGAAAUGACGUAGACACAAUAUAACGGCAUUCUACUGUAUUUAUAACUAGAAGGAAAUAAAACAUUACUAUCCAGUAUUUUUGUAAACUGCAGUGAGCACGCCGGGACUUUCAUCCGUCUUGUUAACAGUGAUAAACGCGCCAAAUGCGACAUCAUCGAGUGCAACUGGAUUUCUGACUCUGUGACUCGGAUUAUAUUAUUCCCAAUUACAGGGUUCAGGUGAAACACCAGGAAGAAGAAUCCAGCACUGGAUGAUCAGCCUUGAGGAGCACAUCAUUUGUGAGGGCAUCCAGCCAGCUUUUCUGUCUGGGCUUGCAGCUGAUUUUUCUACUUACAACAAUUUCAAUCUUCAAUACCAAGCUGAA